UUAAAAUGUUAAUUUUUUAAACUAAAGUAGUAUUAGUUAUGUUCUUUAAAUUUAAAGAUUUUGGCGGUAUUUUAGUCUAUUCAGAGGAACCUGUUCUAUAAUUGAUAGUCCACGAUUAACUUUACUUAAAUUUAAAAGUUUGUAUAUCGUUGUUUAUAGAAAAUUUUUUAAGAAAAAUAAUUUUUAAUAAAUUUAAUUAAAUUGUAAAUCAAAUCAAGGUGCAGUUUAUAUUUAAGAAGAAAUGGGUUACAAUAAAAUUUAUUUAUACGGAUUUAUAAAUGAAAAUUAUAAUGAAGGAGGAUUUGAUAGUAAUUUUAUUUAAUUUAAUAAAAUGAUUUUAGCUCUAAAAUAUGU
rnacentral:rRNA from 1 species